rnacentral:rRNA from 1 species
CCUACGGGGGGCAGCAGUGAGGAAUAUUGGUCAAUGGGCGCGAGCCUGAACCAGCCAAGUAGCGUGAAGGAUGACUGCCCUACGGGUUGUAAACUGCUUUUAUAAAGGAAUAAAGUGCGGCACGUGUGUCUGUUUGUAAGUAUCUUACGAAUAAGGAUCGGCUAACUCCGUGCCAGCAGCCGCGGUAAUACGGAGGAUCCGAGCGUUAUCCGGAUUUAUUGGGUUUAAAGGGUGCGUAGACGGUUUGUUAAGUUAGUGGUGAAAGGUUGAGGCUCAACCGCGAAAUUGCAUCUAAUACUGGUGGCCUAGAGAAUAGUUGCGGUAGGCGGAAUGUAUGGUGUAGCGGUGAAAUGCUUAGAGAUCAUACAGAACACCGAUUGCGAAGGCAGCCUACUAAACUACAUCUGACGUUGAGGCACGAAAGUGUGGGUAGCAAACAGGAUUAGAUACCCCGGUAGUC